AAAAUUCAAAAAAUGUAAUGAUACUUAUGAUGAUACUUACAGCCAUUCCGCGAGCGCCAGCAGGUCCGGCAGGUCCUGCAGGUCCUUGAGCACCCUAAAGACAGAAAUAACAGGGUCCGACAGGUCCAGGGGAACCAGGGGGACCAGGAGCUCCAGGGGCGCCAGCAGGUCCAGUGUUACCUCGCUCUCCCUACAGGAGGACAUGAGGCGAUGAGUCAGGGCUCUCCAGCAGGUCCACUAAGUCCAGGGGGUCCCACAGGUCCAGGAGGUCCACGGUCACCAGCAGAACCAGAAGCUCCCUGUUUACCAGAUGAAAGCACUUACAGAAGGUCCAGGGAGACCAGGGAAACCUCUCUCUCCACGCUGACCAGGCAAACCAACAAUACCACGAGAUCCAGCCAGACCCUGAGGACCUGAAGGCCCAUCAGCACCCUACAGAGCUCUCCCUUCUCUCCCUGUGCGCCAGGAGGUCCACGAAGCCCAGCGUCUCCCUGUCUUCCGGGGGGGCCGGCAUCACCACGAGCACCUUUAGGUCCGUCUUUGCCAGCAGAACCAGCAGGGCCAGCAGGGCCAGGGUUACCCUGUGAUGGGACGAGGAGGAAUUUCAGUGGGAGGUCCAGCAAAUCCAGCAGGCCCAGGAGGUCCGCCCUCACCACGGUCACCCUGCAGGAGGACAGAAGAGACUGUUGGUCAUGGCGAGCGUAGGGUGUUCCAGGAAGUCCACGAGGUCCCUGCAGACCCUGAGCUCCAGCACCACCUCUCUCACCAGGGAAACCACGCUCACCCUGUUAGGAGGCAAGAAGACACUGAAUCAACUCAGGCUGGUGUAUCUGAUAUUUCAUGAGAAAAUAAACUGACCUGGAAGCCAGAGGGUCCAGGCUGUCCUUGCUCUCCUCUCUCUCCAGCAGGUCCCUAUGAUGAACCCAAACACAGGGAAUCCCAUCACUCCUGGCUGUCCGCGGGCUCCCUGAGGACCAGGUGGACCGGGGCGACCAUCUUCACCAGGGGCACCCUGUCAAAGGCACAAGAGGGUCCAACUUUGCCUUGAGGACCAGCGUCUCCAGGACGACCAGUGAGACCCUGAAACAGACACACAUGCUCAUCAGCAUCAGUCAAGAAGUGGGAUGAAUCUCAACAAAAUGAAAUAACAUCUGCCACAU